GUCGUGAGAUGUUGGGUUAAGUCCCGCAACGAGCGCAACCCUUGUCGCUAGUUGCCAUCAUUCAGUUGGGCACUCUAGUGAGACUGCCGGUGGUGAACCGGAGGAAGGUGGGGAUGACGUCAAGUCCUCAUGGCUCUUACGUCUGGGGCUACACACGUGCUACAAUGGCCGGUACAAAGGGUUGCAAUGCCGCGAGGUGGAGCCAAUCCCAAAAAGCCGGCCUCAGUUCGGAUUGGAGUCUGCAACUCGACUCCAUGAAGUCGGAAUCGCUAGUAAUCGCUGAUCAGCAGGCAGCGGUGAAUACGUUCCCGGGCCUUGUACACACCGCCCGUCAAGCCACGAAAGUCGGUAGUACCCGAAGUCGGUGUGCCAACCCGUAAGGGGGGUAGCCGCCUAAGGUAAGACCGGUGAUUGGGGCUAAGUCGUAACAAGGUAGCCGUACCGGAAGGUGCGGCUGAAUCACCUCCUUUCUAGGUGACAAUAGGUUGAGGCGCCAAUCGAGCCAUUCGACGCCACGAGAUCUCAGGAUCACGUGACGCACGCCGAUACCGAGUCUCCAGGUCGUCUCUAGUCAGCUCCACACACACGUGCGCUAUUCGUAUUUUUUCAGGAGAUGAGCGCGCUCUAGCAAGCGCCCACCGGGUUUUGCUCGUGACGUCCCAUGUGACCCUCGCUUCGAGCUUAAGCGCGAGAAGCACCGGGCACGAGUCACGAAAUUCGUGGGGGCCUAUAGCUCAGUUGGUUAGAGCGCGCGCCUGAUAAGCGCGAGGUCAGUGGUUCAACUCCACUUAGGCCCACCAUAUCAGGGGAUAUAGCUCAAUUGGGAGAGCGCCGGCUUUGCAAGCCGGAGGUUGCCGGUUCGAUCCCGGCUAUCUCCACCAGGUAAGGAUCGGCCGAGCUCGUCGAGAGGCGGCCCUCGCUCCAAUAAAGAUUUCGUACCGCGCGGCCGCGCGUCGGCCCCGCGUGUUUCUUGCGAUCUUUGAAAACUGAAUACUGGAUGACGGGUAAGGCGAAACAUCGAGCACCAAAUGUUCGGUCAAGCUACUAAGAGCACAUGGUGGAUGCCUUGGCGUCAGAAGGCGAUGAAGGACGUGAUAAGCUGCGAUAAGCUGCGGAGAGCCGCAAAUAGGCCGAGACCCGCAGAUUU
rnacentral:sRNA from 1 species